CUGUAAUUCUGGCAACACUGAACAUCAUGACCAUGAUUGUGAUUACAAUUCUGCUGAUAGUGAUUCAAAAGAUCCACAUUAGAGAUACCUUGAAUCAUCCCAGAAAACAAUGGAAGCAGAUCGUGGAUACUGAUACUUUAAACCCAGAAGAGACACGAGUCCUUUAUACCCAUUCCAUCAAGCACUAGCUGACAGUAAUGAUGGCUGAAAACAUUAUUACCGCAUAUUUGUUGAGGACUGAUGAUU